GGGGCUGUAGCCAAGUAGUUAAAGCGUCGGACUCCCGAUUUGAAGGUCGGGGGUUCGAUUCCCGAUCCCA
rfam:Macrostomum lignano unitig_35875, whole genome shotgun sequence.